rnacentral:rRNA from 1 species
CCUACGGGUGGCAGCAGUGGGGAAUCUUAGACAAUGGGGGCAACCCUGAUCUAGCCAUGCCGCGUGAUCGAUGAAGGCCUUAGGGUUGUAAAGAUCUUUCAGUUGGGAAGAUAAUGACGGUACCAACAGAAGAAGCCCCGGCUAACUCCGUGCCAGCAGCCGCGGUAAUACGGAGGGGGCUAGCGUUAUUCGGAAUUACUGGGCGUAAAGCGCACGUAGGCGGACUGGAAAGUUAGAGGUGAAAUCCCAGGGCUCAACCUUGGAACUGCCUUUAAAACUAUCAGUCUAGAGAUCGAGAGAGGUGAGUGGAAUUCCGAGUGUAGAGGUGAAAUUCGUAGAUAUUCGGAGGAACACCAGUGGCGAAGGCGGCUCACUGGCUCGAUACUGACGCUGAGGUGCGAAAGCGUGGGGAGCAAACAGGAUUAGAUACCCUAGUAGUC